rnacentral:rRNA from 1 species
GCGAAAAGCAACGACCAGGCACACACGUCUCACGCCCCUAUCUGCUAGCAACCUCCUCGCUCCUCCCCAUCCCAUCUCCCUGCUGAAAAAAUCGCCACGCCAUCCACGCCGCUCACGAUCCCCGCUGCGGCGUCUGCGUCGAUGGGCUCCCCUCGGUCCUCCUCCACCAAGCACCCGCCCUCCCAUGGUCGUGGUCCAUCCUCUACCAAGCUCUUGAUUGGGAGUCCCACGAGGUUGGGAGUCCCUUGAGGCCUUACCACGACCAUGGAAUCCCUUGCCCUCGCCUGCGUCGAUGGACCCGCCCGUGACCGGACCGAGAGCAUGUUAUCUAGCUGCGCCUCGCGAUCCCCCCACUGCGGCGCCCUGCCCCGUGCUGACGCCGCGGGCGCGGGCGGCUCAGCCCGCCGGGAAGGCGGGCUUUCCCCCCGCCGCGCGGACCGGCGCGCUCAGGGCCAGCAGGGGAUGCGCCACUCUGCCGCUGGUCCCGCCGUGCCGGAGCCGGUGGAGCGCCGUCGUGUGCAACGCGUCGGUGUACAUCAUCCCGCUCAUGAAGCAGUGUGUCUCCGUCGCGGCCGCGGCGUGAGUGCCUCCCCCAUCUCAUCGUCGAUACCCAAAGAGUGCUCUUGCUUGCUAAAGGCACAGGCAUACACAAAUCCUUCAUCGUGCCAUUGUUUGUUCUGCAAGCACCUAGCACUGUAAUCUCAUGGAUCAAGAGUGAAUAUGGGAUGUGGACUGCUUUUCUUGCGCUUGCAGUGCGUUUGUUCUUACCCUUUCCAGGUGACCUAGAGCUUCCGCAGUCAACAAUGCUGGCGGUCAGCGUUGCUCCUUACCAGGUGAUGAAUGUGAGGUAUGUAACAUGCUCGCCAUUCCGGAAGACAUUAGCUAUACUGCUGCAUAUGUCUUUGAUAAUUCAUCCGCUUGGUCAGUUGUCCACUAAAUGUGAAGUGGCUAAAAAGAAAGGAAAUUAACAUGUAGAAGAAGUUGAAGAACUGUUAAGCAGAGAAUUCAUCGCCUAGCUUAACCAGUGCAACGUGAAUAAGGAUUAAGAGGAUCUAGCUUAAUCCAUGUGUAUGGUAGCAGAUCAUAUACUUUGCUUUUUUCAAUUUUCUAAAUUACAGUUUCACCCCUAGCCUCAUUUGCGGGUAAAAUGUUAUAGUUUGCGCAAGCAGCAGAUCUAGAUAAUCUUUUGUAGGGCGUGAGUUACUGCAUAGACAUCUAAUAAAAAGAGGCAUCUUCUUUCGGCUCGAUACAGAAUAUAUCAGUGCUAUUGGGUGCUCUUUGGUACUACAAUUGCCUCACCCACUCUACAAAAACUUGACUUGAGUGUAUAUGGUCUUUUGUUCUUCACUAUUACUUUAUUAAGGCUGCAAAUUUGUGAUAUGUACAGAUGAAAACACAUACUGCAACAUAAUUGAUUCAUCUGACGAUUCAGUGUUCCCUGUUCUUUUUGUGUGAACUCCAGCCAGAAAUAUUUAGCCGGGGUAUUUUUUGCCACUUAUUGUCUGUUACGUAGAGUUGGUGUUUCUAGACACAAAAUAUUUUGUUUACUGGUUUAUACCAUGGGUCAGUUCAAUCUCAGGUUAAAUUAGUCAGUGUUGAUCAAUAAUGAAAUGUAGCCAUUGGUUGAUUGAUCAUUGAUGGUACAGAUGUGCAAAGCAACAAUUAUAUACCCCACUGUGUUGGACCCAAAUACCUUCCGGAAAGAAGUUCUGAAGGGUGGGAUACUAGACAACCAUGUAAUUUCAGCUAUAUCUUUAUUAUAUAAAAUAGGUGGAAUUUUAGGUAUGUUCUGCUAUCCCCCCCCCCCUCUCUCUAAUUUGGUGCUAUUGGUUUGUUAAGGUACCUAUUUAUUUUGAGUUUUUUCUGUGCCAAACACAAAGGUUGAAUGUAUGGCUUAGCACUAACUUCAUGUGGGUUUUUCUGCUCAAGUUAUUUCAGUUAUAUUCCUCAGUUAAUACUUCGCAGGAUCUUGAGGAGUUCUUUUGUGUUGUAUUGCUUUGAAGGUGAAUCUCAUUCCUCGGAUUUUGCUCUGUUGUCGUAGCACUUUCAGAUUUGAAGUUAUGUUUCUCAAGUAAGAAGUAGUAUCUUUGUGCUUUUAGCAAUGAGAAUAUUUGAGGAACUACCUAUUACAACAUCAUUUUCUAGGAAAAUUAGAUCAUAACAAGAGACGAUGAAUCAUUUAUUUUCUUUGUUGUGGGUAGGGUCAAAUUUUGAAUUACCAAGCUUUUGUAUGAUUUUGAUUGACCAGGCUUGCUUGCUGCUUGCUUGUCAAUCAAGCUAUGUUGGUCGAUUUUAGAGACAAACUUGUCUUCGAAUAAGACUAUCUAGAAGCAGCAAGGCAAAGACAUCCAUUGCAUUACUAACUGGGAUAAUUUUGACUUGUUAGCUACACCCUUUGGAUGGUCCUAAUUGUAGAAAGUUAUUAUAGACAAUCAACCCUUCAAAUUUCACCAUCAUGAAAGAAUCUAAAUAUAGUAUGUUUUCUUCUCUUACUUUUUUAUUAUACUCUUCUACUCUUAUAAUUCAUCAAAUGCUAACUAUUACCUUCACUUUAAUGCUCGGAACCCCUGGUUGAUAAUUUAUAGUGGGUCAGUUCUGUGUUGAUUUCUCUCAUGAUGAUUGAUGCUUUGUUACAUAGAUAGAAAAAAAAUUGAGAAAUCAGAUGGAGAAGGAAUGGCACAACCGUGAAAAAUAAGUCAGAUGCUUGUUGAAAGAUAUAUACUGUGAGUUUCAUAUAUUUUGGUUAUAUAAGGAUUCAAUUUUUUAAGGAGGCCGGAGUGGAGAAGUAGAUGUGACAUAGAGAAACAUGGCUAUGCAGGGGAAGCGGGAAAUCACACUUUGACAAAUGUUUCUAUAGUCAUGUGUUAUUCUGUAGCCACUGAGCAAAUGCAUCGACAUACAUGUGUCAGAGACGCUGUAUGCUCUUUGAUUGUUGAUAAUUUUUUGUUUCUCGUGGACCUUGUUUGACUUUUGGAUGUGGUGUGAAUUCUAUGGGCUAAUAUGUCAAGCUUUCGAUGGUUCACUAUGUACGCUUGUUUGGUGAUUCAAUAUUUGUCAGUGUGGUAAUAAGCCACAUACGACACAAAUUCUUCUAUUUUGCCGAACACAUCCUCUUGAAGUACAAGAUAUUUUUAUAACCAUGUCUACAACUCAUGAUCUCUAUGCCUAAAUUUAUUGUUUGGUGCCAUUGUGACCAAUAUCCCUUAAAACAUGGAUGUUCCCGCCUUUCGCUCUGGUCGACGCGACCGCUCGCGCUGAUUUUGAACGAAAAUUCAAUCCAAGGAGCGACCGCUCGCGCUGAUUUUGAACGAAAAUUCAAUCCAAGGAGCGGGAAGGGACUGCUUUGGCCCACAAAAGAAAAAAGAAGAAAAGAAAACGCAACCAAACCACAGCCAGGCCGCGCGGCUUCUCUCUCUGUCUUGCUCCUCUCUCGAUCCCCUCCAGAUCCAACCGCCACCGCCGACCUCCGUCCUCUCCCCCAACCCCAGCUCCAACUCCGGCCUCCACUCCACCGCCGGCGAUCCAUCCGUUCCCCUCCUCUCGCUCGCCGUAGAUCCGCUCGAGCAGCGCAGCCCACGGUCAGAUCAGAUCCUCGCGCCCGGAACCCUAGCCCUCUGGCCAUGGCGACCGGCCGCAGCACAGGUUGGAGGUGCCACCAUGGAGUCCUCUGCCGGGGACGCCGCCCAAGUGCUCGUCAAGGCCCGCUGCUCCUUCUUCCUCCUUUUCCUCAAAUUCAAGGGCAAUCAGCAGCACACGCCAUCCUCAAGGCGCACGGUUCUUCUCUUCUCUGAUGGAUGGAUGGGUUGGUCGUGGAGGAGGAGAACGACCAGGAGAAUAGGGAUCCCGUCUCUUCUUUUCUCUUCAUCAAUGUCGGCCGCUCAGGAACAACGACCCAGCCACCCCUCAAGGAAAGGCAGGAGUGCAAACCCUUGGAGUUCAUGUAGAGUAUUCUGCCCUCAUGGGUCACAGAGGCCCUCCUUCCUCCGCCCCAUCAGAACCAGGCUGCCUGUUGUAUGUACAGCAGCAAAAAGAUUUGGAUGCAGACCGUGGUGGUUUCUUCAUAGUACACGUGCAGCCAGCCGUGUAUGUUCAAAUUCUCCCUGACGCCGUGUGAUGCUAGUGAUUUUGCCUGCCAUGCCGCAACCACGACGGUGGCGAUGUCCGGCCUCGGCUACAACUUGCACAGGAUUUGGCCUCUGGAUGGGUUUCUCGUGCCAGGCACCUCGACGACUUUUGCUAUGCUGUGGUGUUGUUUGGCAUUGGCUACACAAUAGCUAUGCAGGAUUCGAUUCGGUACAAUAAGGGGUUCGUCGUGCCAGGCUUCACGGCGCUGCUGCUUCCAUGUGACGGACUGACGGUGUUGUUUGGCAUCGGCUACAAAAACAGCCAUGGUGUCUCUGUUUACUAGUACUUGAGAGGGAAUUGGAAGUAGUUUGUUAACUGAAGCUUGGUCCUGCUCGACACCAAGGAGAGGCGCAAGGGGGUGCCUAGCACCGGCGCCGAAGAAUGCUGGUGCUCCUCUUCGUCUUCGACCUGCUCUGCUCCUUCAAGGUGAUAGCCGAAUGGUAUACGCGCGAGAUUCAUCUUCCACUCAAACGCCUCACGCCCUGCCCCUCCAGUAGCUGAUUCUUCUUCGACUCUGUCACAUGUGGCAAUCGGUGACUGGCGUGUUGAUUGGAUCCAAGGGAGGAGCUUAUGGUGUGUUGACACCAGUCUGUCCUUAUCUUGUGGCGUUGACAUCAUAAUCAUGUCCAGCCGAAAGGUAUCCAAUGUUCCCCUCUAAUUGAAAGAAAACUAAUCAGUUUGCCAUGCAGCUCGGCUAUGUCGUUAAAGUUGAUGGACUCACUUUAUAUUCCAAGCCUUCUGUUGUUAUCAUAUUAGAUGGCCUUAAGCCAUAUUUAUUGUAAUAAGUUUUCUUUUGAGACAUUCUAUGUAAUAAGUGUGUAAUUGAUACUCUGUUAUAAAUCCUUCGAGUACUAUGUGUGUCAGCAUUAUCGAUCCAGGGAUGACAUUAAAGCAC